UAGGGAAUCUUCCGCAAUGGGCGAAAGCCUGACGGAGCAACGCCGCGUGAGUGAUGAAGGUCUUCGGAUCGUAAAACUCUGUUAUUAGGGAAGAACAAAUGUGUAAGUAACUAUGCACGUCUUUACGGUACCUAAUCAGAAAGCCACGGCUAACUACUUGCCAGCAGCCGCGGUAAUACGUAGGUGGCAAGCGUUAUCCGGAAUUAUUGGGCGUAAAGCGCGCGUAGGCGGUUUUUUAAGUCUGAUGUGAAAGCCCACGGCUCAACCGUGGAGGGUCAUUGGAAACUGGAAAACUUGAGUGCAGAAGAGGAAAGUGGAAUUCCAUGGGUAGCGGUGAAAUGCGCAGAGAUAUGGAGGAACACCAGUGGCGAAGGCGACUUUCUGGUCUGUAACUGACGCUGAUGUGCGAAAGCGUGGGGAUCAAACAGG
rnacentral:rRNA from 1 species